UUGUAGGCUUGAGUUAGAAAAGAAACAAGUGAAAUGUUUCCUUAAAGUUUUGGCAUCAUUGCUUUUUUGGCAUUAAUUUUGCAGUUCAAGGUUGCAAUAAAUUUUUGGUCUAGGACCAAACAUAAUUAAGGUGGCACAAGACGUUAAGAAGUCUACAUGGCAAGUUUUGGUGCACAAGUCAGCACAAUUCAAAAGCUUAGAUGGAGCAAUUAUAGCAUUUGGAACCUUCAGAUGAAAUUUUAUCUAAAAGGGAAAGAGUUGUGAAGCAUAGUUGAUGAAAAUGAGGUUGAACCACCAACUCAAGCUAAUGACAUGGAAAAGUGGGAGGUUAAGGUUGCAAAGGUGAUGUUCAGUCUAAUCGUACAAUCUUAAAAUACGAUGUUGAGACUCCAAAUGAAGAAUUGAGAUAUUUUGGCAGCAUUGUUUGGAAAGACAUAUAAGGCAAAGUUAAAAACCUUGGAGAAUGAGCUAAUGACUUUGAUUCAAUGGAGAAUAUCGGUAAGUCAAUACUUUACCAAAGCUAAGUCGAUUAGUAGUGAAAUUGUAGAACUAGCUCCUGAUGAGAUGCCUAGUGAAGCCAUAUUACGAAGAAUUAUAAUUAAUAGCUUAAAUCCAAAGUAUAAUUGUAACACUCUCUAUUCUAACCCUUAUCCGAUACCGAAAUAGGGUUACAAGGCAUUACCAGACAGUUCAGAACAAGAA